AAAAGAAAACACCAAAACGAAAAAAGACGACACAUUGGAAUAUGUAUAUUUUUGGACUGUAACGAUGAUUACUAAUUGCUAUUUCAGAUUUGGUACUAUUCUCUCUCUCUCGUCGCUAUCUCCCUGUCUGUAUG
rnacentral:ribozyme from 1 species